CAGUCGCAACAAGGUUUCCAGUAGGUGGAACCUGCGGAAGGGAUCAUUCAAACAAGGUGAGGGCUACCGAACGCUGGCAAAGCAGCGGGGUUAGGAGGCUUACACCCACCCGUGUUUACAUACUAUUGUUGCUUUGGCGGGCCGUGGCCUCCACUGCGGGCUCUGCUCGUGUGUGCCCGCCAGAGGACCAAACUCUGAAUGUUAGUGAUGUCUGAGUACUAUCUAAUAGCUAAAA
rnacentral:misc_RNA from 1 species